AAUGGUCGGUACAAAGGGUUGCCAAGCCGCGAGGUGGAGCUAAUCCCAUAAAACCGAUCGUAGUCCGGAUCGCAGUCUGCAACUCGACUGCGUGAAG
rnacentral:ncRNA from 1 species